GAGCCUAUUAUCCUUUUUUUAUUUAAAAUUAAUUAUAAACCGAGAAAUGAAAAACAAUGUUAUCACCCCAUUUAAAGGGUUGAAAGAGUCUUGUUUAGAGUUGUGUGGGGUUGAAUAUUUAUAUUUGUAAUAUUUUAGAAGUUGGUAGAAAAAGAAAAGAAAAAUAGAAAAAUAAAAUAGAAAAGAAAAAAAAAAUGAAUGAAAAAAAAAUAGAAGGAU
rnacentral:lncRNA from 1 species